rnacentral:rRNA from 1 species
UCGGAAUUGCUAGUAAUCGCGGAUCAGCAUGCCGCGGUGAAUACGUUCCCGGGCCUUGUACACACCGCCCGUCACACUAUGGGAGCCGGUAAUACCCGAAGUCAGUAGUCCAACCUCGUGAGGACGCUGCCGAAGGUAGGAUUGGCGACUGGGUGAAGUCGUAACAAGGUACC